GAAUUUCUGGGGCAAAACAGCCUCCAAAAUCACAGAAAGAACAUUACAUAUUACAGAAAAAUAAGCCAAAAAAAGAGGGAAAAUAGAGAAUUAAAUGUGAUAUGAUUUAUAUAUGAUUGCAUAGGUGGGGGUGUUACUGCAGAUAUCUUGUUUGCAAGUCCAAAAAGAAAACAAAAGGGCAAAAUUUGCAUUCUCCAUAAAGAUUCCUCAGCUCAAUCUCUUAAAUCAUCGAUCGUGACUAUAUUGAAGAUUUCGAGACCAAAUUGCACUCCCCUUUUCCCAAAAAUUACACCUUUUUGCCAUCUGUUUUUCUCUCCGCGCCUCCUCCCUACCAUAAAUGCCCUCCUUCCCUAAAACCCUUCACUUCUCUCUUACUUCACUCAAUCCCUUCUCUAUUUUCUAUAUCACCAGCUCUCGCUGUUUCUGUCACUCUCCCGAGGAAGUUGCGAAUUUUACGGGAAAGUUAAAAUCUUUUCUUCCUUAAUGGAGGAAAAUGAGCCUCUGCCUGAACAUCUUCGCUGUAAGCGGACCGAUGGGAGGCAAUGGCGGUGCAAUAGGAGAGUCAUGGACGAUAAGAAGCUCUGCGAAAUUCACCAUCUCCAGGGCCGUCAUAGACAGUACAAGAGGAAAGUACCCGAGUCACUGAAAUUGCAAAGGAAGUACAGCAAGAAAUCAACGGCCAAUGCGGAUUCAUUGUCUCACAAUGUCGAAAUUAGGGCACAGAAAGAGGAAAGAUUAUCACGAUUGGUGAAAUUGGAGAAGCCUAUGAAGAGAAAGAAAUCGAUCGGUGAAUCUGAAGCGCUUGAUGAGGCUGUGAAGAAGAUGAGGCUAAAGAGAGGGGAUUUGCAGCUGGAACUAAUACGAAUGGUGUUGAAAAGAGAGGUAGAGAAGAGAAAGAAGAAGAAAAAGAAGAAAAAGAAGAAAGUUGUGGCAGAGGAGAUUAAUAGUGAUAUUGACAACGAAAUUGAUAGCAGUAAUAGUGAGGGAGAGUUAAUGAGAGAUUUGCCUAAUGGAUUAAUGGCAAUAUCUCCUGCUAAACAUUUUGGCAAUGUGGCUGCUGCUUCUUCUUCUACGCCCUGUGAUAUCAAAAUUGGAGCUGCUGAUUUCAGUGCUAUUACUAGAAGAUGUUUUCGGUCUAAAAACAUUGAGCCAAUGCCAAUUGGUGCAUUGCAGGUUGUGCCUUUCAAGAAGGAUAUGAUGAGAUUAAGGAGGGGAAGGAGGAAAAAGUGCCAUUUGUGUAGGAGAAGUGGUUUGAAGACGUUAAUAAUGUGUUCGAGUUGUAGAAAACAAUUCUAUUGCAUGGACUGCAUCAAAGACCAGUAUGUUUUUUCAGUAUCAACUUAUUUAAAUUGCCUUCAAUUCUCUGUUUCUUCACUUGUUUGUGUUAUCAGUUGUUAGCAUUCUGUAGUACAAAUAUUUGUGUUAUCACUUAGGACUUAGUUUGUGUUAUCAGUUGUCAGCAUUCUAUAGUACAAAUGUUUGUGUUAUCAGCAUUCUUCACUUGUUUGUGUAAUCAGUUAGGACUUAAGUCAUUGCUGAAUACAAUUCAAUGAACCAACAAAAGAAAGAACAAAGUAAGAAGGUACUGUUAGCCUAUGCAUCAGAAUUUAAUUAGUUAAAAACUAUAGAAACGUGAAUCUGUAAGAUGUAAUGUCAAUUCAUGUUUGUAAAACUGAAGUGCAUUAUCCUAUUACUCCACCCACUGAUGGUUUGGGAAGCAUUUUGUAUCCAGUAAACCAAAAUUCUGUUUUUUAUCCAGAUAUAACUCCAACUUGUGCUCAAAACAUCAUCUAUAAAUACAGGUCAAGUUUUUAAGGUUUUGGCCCUUUCUGUUUUGUUUGAACAAUUUGCAAUUUGGUUAGGAGCAGAACCCAAUUGGUAAAUUUUGAAGUUCAAAUUAAUUUAGGUAUUCUGAUAUGCAAGAAGAAGUUCAGAUAGCAUGUCCAGUUUGUCGAGGAACUUGUUGCUGUAAGGCCUGCUCAGCAAUUCAAUGUAGGGACAUUGAAUGUAAGGUCUGAUUUCGAAUUUGACUAAAUUAUGAACAUAUUCAUUUACAUUUCUACACUGAAUCUUGAUAUUUAAACUUACAUGAAAACGUGGUUUAGGGCUUCUCCAAGGACAAGAGUAAAGUCAACAAAGUUUUACAUUUUCAUUAUUUGAUCUGUAUGCUUCUUCCCGUACUUAAACAACUAAAUCAAGAUCAGAGCAUUGAGCUAGAAAUAGAGGCAAAAAUAAAAGGUACUCACGAUGGUUAUGCUUAUUGAUCUUCCGAAAUUGACUUUCACUACUAACCCACAAGGGAUGGUUCUUCUGAUGUCCUUCAGUCUGUAACAGGCCAGAAACCCGCAGAUGUUCAAAUCCACCUGGCAUCAGUUGGCUGCAAUAAGAAGUGUUGUUGCAAUAAUUGCAAGAGUUCCAUUGUGGAUUUCCAUAGAAGCUGCCCAAGCUGUUCCUAUAGCCUUUGCUUAAAUUGUUGUCAAGAUAUUUUUCAAGCAAGCUUACCUGGAAGUGUUAAAGCCCAUAUAUGCAAAUACCCUAAUCGAAGGAAAGCCUGUAAAUCUGGAAAGCAAAUUUCAGAGAUGAAGUCGGUAUGUGUCUCUAAGUGGAAUUAUGGCAAUAAAUAUUUAGAAUCGUCUAUGUUAUUGCCUAGUUGGGAAGUUCCUGAUGGUAAUGGUAUACCUUGCCCAUCCACAGAGUUUGGUGGUUGUGGUGAUAAUCUCCUUGAUUUAAGUUGUCUUUUCCCAUCAAGUUGGACCAAAGAACUGGAAAUAAGUGCGGAGGAAAUUAUUGGUUGGUAUGAGUUGCCAGAAACCUUGGACGUUUUCUCGCGCUGCUCAUUAUGUUUUGGGAUGGACUGUGAAGUUAAUGGGAUUAUGCAGUUGCAAGAAGCAGCUACAAGAGAAAAUUCUAAUGAUAACUUCCUGUAUUAUCCUACUGUUGUGGACAUCCACAGUGAUAACCUUGAACACUUUCAAAAGCAUUGGGGCAAAGGUCAACCUGUAAUUGUUCGUAACAUUCUUCAGGGUACAUCAGAUCUUAGUUGGGAUCCAAUAGUCAUGUUCUGCACUUAUCUUAAAAAUAAUGCUGCCAAGUCUGAGAGUGAGCAGGCUGCUGAUUCCUUGGACUGGUUUGAGGUAGAAAUUGGUAUUAGGCAACUGUUUAUGGGACCUUUUAAGGGUCCAAUACAUGCCAACAAGUGGCAUGAAAAACUAAAAUUGAAGGGUUGGCUUUCUUCCCAUUUAUUUCAAGAACAUUUUCCAGCUCAUUAUGCCGAAAUCCUUCAUGCUCUACCACUUCCAGAAUACAUGGACCCUGUUUCUGGUGUUUUAAACAUUGCUGCAGAAUUGCCACAAGAAAUCGUGAAGCCUGAUCUUGGCCCAUGUGUCUAUAUCUCUUAUGGUAGUGGUGAGAAUCUUGUUCAGGCUGAUUCUGUGGCAAAUUUACGUUAUGAUUCAUAUGAUAUGGUUAAUAUUUUGGCACACACCACUGAUGUCCCUGUAUCUUCAGAACAGCUUAACUAUAUAAGAAAGUUAAUGAAGAAACGCAAGGAACAAAAUGAAGUGAGCAGAGCAGCACCAAAUGAUGGGCAAAAUGUGGAAGAAGUAGGCUUACAUGAUAUGAUCACAGAAGAAAUGUGCUUACACAAGAAAGUUGCUAGAGUAUCUUGGUUUUCUGCUGCCAGUCACAAAGCACAAACAAGUCUCAAAAAUAGAGGCUUGUUCCUUGAUGGGGAACAUGAUUCUGAUUCUGAUACUGAUACAGAUACUGAAGUCUCAAAAUUUUUCUUUGGGCCUGUUAAAAGCUGUAGGACAUCAGAAAAUAUGAAUUUCUGUGGGAAGAAUACAGAUGGUUCGGAUCAUUUUAGAAAGCAAGAAGUUGCUGAGUAUUGUGGUGCCCAGUGGGAUGUCUUUCGUAGACAAGACAUUCCAAAGCUUGUUGAAUACCUGA
rnacentral:misc_RNA from 1 species